AUUGAACGCUGGCGGCAUGCCUUACACAUGCAAGUCGAACGGCAGCGGACCUUCGGGUGCCGGCGAGUGGCGAACGGGUGAGUAAUAUAUCGGAACGUACCUUUCAGUGGGGGAGUAACGUAGCGAAAGUUAACGCUAAUACCGCAUAUUCUGUGAGCAGGAAAGCAGGGGAGUCGCAAGACCUUGCGCUGAUUGAGCGGCCGAUAUCAGAUUAGCUAGUUGGUGAGGUAAAGGCUCACCAAGGCGACGAUCUGUAGCGGGUCUGAGAGGAUGAUCCGCCACACUGGAACUGAGACACGGUCCAGACUCCUACGGGAGGCAGCAGUGGGGGAAUUUUGGACAAUGGGCGCAAGCCUGAUCCAGCCAUGCCGCGUGAGUGAAGAAGGCCUUCGGUUGUAAAGUACGUCUUUCGGUCCGGGAACGGAAAUACGCA
rnacentral:rRNA from 1 species